rnacentral:tRNA from 1 species
AGCCCCGAGGUGAAAUCACGUCGAAAUGCAAGUUCGGAGAGGGCACCUUAAGAGGUGCCGGGGCUU